rnacentral:rRNA from 1 species
AGUGAGAAUGCCGGAAUGAGUAGCGAGAAUUAUGUGGGAAUCAUAAUGGCCGAAAAUCUAAGGUUUCUUGGGGAAGGUUCGUCCGCCCAAGGUAAGUCGGGAGCUAAGGCGAGGCCGAAAGGCGUAGUCGAUGCACAUACGGUUGAAAUUCCGUAACCACCGAAACUGUUAAGCACAGGGACACAUAGAGAUAGCUGAACCCGGGCGUUGGUUGACCCGGGCGAAAGGGACCGAACAUCAGUAGGGAAGUCGGCGAUGCUCUGUGGCGAGAAAAGCUGUGUGAAUUAGUUAGGUGCCCGUACCGCAAACCGACACAGGUAGAUGAGGAGAGAAUCCUAAGGCCAACGGGAGAAGGGUUGUCAAGGAACUCGGCAAAUUGACCCCGUAACUUCGGAAUAAGGGGAGCCUGCUACGGCAGGCCGCAGUGAAAAGGCUCAAGCGACUGUUUAGCAAAAACACAGGUCUCUGCUAAAUCGAAAGAUGACGUAUAGGGGCUGACGCCUGCCCGGUGCCGGAAGGUUAAGAGGAGAGCUUAGCGCAAGCGAAGGUUUGAAUUGAAGCCCCGGUAAACGGCGGCCGUAACUAUAACGGUCCUAAGGUAGCGAAAUUCCUUGUCAGGUAAGUUCUGACCCGCACGAAUGGCGUAACGACUUGAGCACUGUCUCGACAGCCCGCCCGGCGAAAUUGUAGUACCGGUGAAGAUGCCGGUUACCCGCAACUAGACGGAAAGACCCCAUGGAGCUUUACUGUAGCUUAAUACUGAAGAUUGGUAAUGCAUGUAUAGGAUAGGUGGGAGCCUGUGAAGGUCCGGCGUCAGCUGGAUUGGAGGCACCCUUGGAAUACCACCCUUGUAUUGCUGGUUUUCUAACCUGCGGCCGUGAAUCCGGUCGGGGGACACUGUUAGGUGGGCAGUUUGACUGGGGCGGUCGCCUCCAAAAGAGUAACGGAGGCGCUCAAAGGUUGGCUCAGCACGGACGGAAAUCGUGCAUAGAGUGCAAACGCAAAAGCCAACUUGACUGCGAGAGAGACAUCUCGAGCAGGUACGAAAGUAGGAGUUAGUGAUCCGGCGGUAUGCAAGUGGAAGUGCCGUCGCUCAACGGAUAAAAGCUACCCUGGGGAUAACAGGCUGAUCUCCCCCAAGCGUCCACAGCGACGGGGAGGUUUGGCACCUCGAUGUCGGCUCGUC